rnacentral:rRNA from 1 species
GGCGGCGUGCCUAACACAUGCAAGUCGAGCGAUUCUCUUCGGAGAAGAGCGGCGGACGGGUGAGUAACGCGUGGGUAACCUGCCCUGUACACACGGAUAACAUACCGAAAGGUAUGCUAAUACGAGAUAAUAUGCUUUUGUCGCAUGGUAGAAGUAUCAAAGCUCCGGCGGUACAGGAUGGACCCGCGUCUGAUUAGCUAGUUGGUAAGGUAACGGCUUACCAAGGCGACGAUCAGUAGCCGACCUGAGAGGGUGAUCGGCCACAUUGGAACUGAGACACGGCCCAGACUCCUACGGGGGGCAGCAGUGGGGAAUAUUGCACAAUGGGGGAAACCCUGAUGCAGCAACGCCGCGUGAGUGAUGAAGGUUUUCGGAUCGUAAAGCUCUGUCUUUGGGGAAGAUAAUGACGGUACCCAAGGAGGAAGCCACGGCUAACUACGUGCCAGCAGCCGCGGUGAUACGUAGGUGGCGAGCGUUAUCCGGAUUUACUGGGCGUAAAGGGAGCGUAGGCGGAUGAUUAAGUGGGAUGUGAAAUACCCGGGCUCAACUUGGGUGCUGCAUUCCAAACUGGUUAUCUAGAGUGCAGGAGAGGAGAGUGGAAUUCCUAGUGUAGCGGUGAAAUGCGUAGAGAUUAGGAAGAACACCAGUGGCGAAGGCGACUCUCUGGACUGUAACUGACGCUGAGGCUCGAAAGCGUGGGGAGCAAACAGGAUUAGAUACCCUGGUAGUCCACGCCGUAAACGAUGAAUACUAGGUGUGGGGGUUUCAACACCUCCGUGCCGCCGCUAACGCAUUAAGUAUUCCGCCUGGGGAGUACGGUCGCAAGAUUAAAACUCAAAGGAAUUGACGGGGACCCGCACAAGUAGCGGAGCAUGUGGUUUAAUUCGAAGCAACGCGAAGAACCUUACCUACACUUGACAUCCCUUGCAUUACUCUUAAUCGAGGAAAUCCCUUCGGGGACAAGGUGACAGGUGGUGCAUGGUUGUCGUCAGCUCGUGUCGUGAGAUGUUGGGUUAAGUCCCGCAACGAGCGCAACCCUUGUCGUUAGUUACUACCAUUAAGUUGAGGACUCUAGCGAGACUGCCUGGGUUAACCAGGAGGAAGGUGGGGAUGACGUCAAAUCAUCAUGCCCCUUAUGUGUAGGGCUACACACGUGCUACAAUGGCUGGUACAGAGAGAUGCAAUACCGCGAGGUGGAGCCAAACUUAAAAACCAGUCUCAGUUCGGAUUGUAGGCUGAAACUCGCCUACAUGAAGCUGGAGUUACUAGUAAUCGCGAAUCAGAAUGUCGCGGUGAAUACGUUCCCGGGUCUUGUACACACCGCCCGUCACACCAUGAGAGUUGGCAAUACCCGAAGUCCGUGAGCUAACCGCAAGGAGGCAGCGGCCGAAGG